rnacentral:rRNA from 1 species
AUUGAACGCUGGCGGCAGGCCUAACACAUGCAAGUCGAACGAGUGGCGGACGGGUGCGUAAUGUCUGGGCAACUGCCUGAUGGAGGGGGAUAACUACUGGAAACGGUAGCUAAUACCGCAUACCAUCAGACGAGCCACGAUGGGAUUAGCUAGUUGGUGGGGUAACGGCAUACCAAGGCGACGAUCCGUAACUGGUCUGAGAGGAUGAACAGGCAAACUGGAACUGAGACACGGUCCAGAAUCCUACGGGAGGCAGCAGUGGGGAAUAUUGGACAAGGGGCGAAAGCCUGAUCCAGACAUGCCGCUUGUGUGAAGAAGGUCUUCGGAUUGUAAAGCACUUUAAGUUGGGAGGCGUUACCAACAGAAUAAGCACCGGCUAACUUCGUGCCAGCAGCCGCGGUAAUAC